AAACCUCACUGCCUAUUCCAUCCAGAAAACCAACAGGUAUUUUAUAGCCUAGCUGCAGCAGUCGGGGACGGGAUGGAGUGGGGUGGGGUGGGCAGACAGGCCAUCUUGGUUUGGUUAAACUGGCUGAGCAGAUUCUGAACCCACCCUCCUCUUCCCAGAAGUAGGAAAGUAGGCAGGAGGGUGGUGGGAGGAGAGGAGGACAAGAGGGGCUAGACAGAAGAGAGGUACACGGAGCAGGAAGGGAUGACUGCCUCCAAGUGCACUUCUAGGGUAAAACAGCACUGCCGGCUGGUAUGCAGGAUUCUGUUUCUAAAUAGCAUGACUCCCAAGGCAACGGGAAGUAAGGGAGUCUGGCCUUCCAGCUCUUUGGGGUACCCUCAGACUCUCUCCAUGGGCCCUCCUGCCCCAUGAGACAUGGCAGGUCAUGGCUGGCAUUUCGAGAGUUCAUCUCAUGGGCAGUAACCUACCACCAACCUGGAUACUGCCUGAGCGGCUCCAUCUGCCUUGCAGUCUGGGCCCAAAGUCAGGACUGGACCAGACUGUGAUGGGGAGUGGGAGGGGCUGGGUGGAGAAUUCAGGUUACUAGAGCAGGUCAGCACAGAGAUUGUGCAUAGGACUGGUGGAGAGGCCAUCUGCCCUUCCUACAGCACGGCCCUGUCCAGCGUGCUUCAGGACAGCAUGACGCCUGUGUGUGCAGGGCCAGCAGCCCCUAGGGAAGGGGCUCCAAAAUAUAAGAAACAGAGAUGGGCCAGAGUCAGUCCUGGAACACAAACACCAGUAUAUUUUAUGUGCACGAAUGUGAAAAGAAAGAGACAACGAGACCAAUGGAGACAGAGCAGGCAAUGGGCGCACAAACCAGUCGUGUGUCCUUCAGAAGAGCUGCCAUAGCUGGGAGACAGUCCCACCCACGAAAGGCCCUUUUGCAGAGCAGGGACCUGCAGGUCCUCCAGGCCUGGGCCUCCUAUUUUUCUGCAUCCCCUUGAUGAUGUCUGCAUAGCCCAGAGUUUCAUAAAUACAGGUUCUCAUGACCUCAUCCACUCAGUGGCUGCCUCCCCAGGAGACCCAUGCAGAAGGCGAGGGACCAGGACAAAAGGACUUCGCGGGCACCCCCUAGGUAUUAUUGCUGUGAAUAAGCAUAGGCCAUUGUGACUCACUGGCACAUCAGAGGGGACAUGGCACAAGGGGCAGGAUGCCUAGCAGAUGUUGGAAUUGAUUCAACCAUGCAGGGCAGCACAUGGCGACCUGUGACUCAGAGAUGCUGCCAUGGCCAGUGGGGAGGGGCCCAGGAC
rnacentral:lncRNA from 1 species